rnacentral:rRNA from 1 species
AUGGAAUGGCAAGAGGUCGGCGUCGGCGGCGUCCUCAUCUAUGACACCAAGACGGCGGCGCAGGUCGUCUCGCCUUACCUCCCGAAAAGCCUCCUUGACGGCUGCGGCUGCACGGCAGCCAUUACAGUCGGCAACAGGCUGUAUUUGUUCGAGUCAUGUGGGUUUGAGAGAUAUUAUAAGUACGUCGGCCACGGCAAAACUAUUUUUGCAUCGGGCUUGCACUGCCUCACCGCCCGUGCAGCCGGAGGAGACGACGACAAGCUCUGGAAUUGGCAGCCGGUGUCCGCUUCGUCGCAGUGGCGUUGGAGUAGCGGUGAGAAUCUUCUGAUGCUCCCCUUCGACGCCGACAACAUCUUGGCGCAUGCGGUGCAUGCCCCGCUAGGAGCGGCCCCGCACGACCACCAGAUCUUGGUGUCUGCUUGGGACGUGAGCAAGACCUACAAGACCUUCUCUUUCAGCACCACGAGUCAUGAGUGGACAUGCCUCGGCGACUGGCGGCUGCCCGUCGUCGGCCACGCCUACUACGACCAUGGUCUCGACGCGUGGGUUGGUCUGGAUGCCGUCGAUGAUGGCUACCUCUGCGCCGGCAAUGUCUUGAGUGCUCCCUCAGAGUGGAAGGACGGCAGGGAGAAGCUGUUCUGUCUCGAGGAGGACGCCGAGGCUGGCUGGAGCCACAUCGACACCAAGCUCGUGCCCAUGUCAUCUCCCGAAGGCGGCGGUAGCGAGUACUGUCUCAUGGAGCGUCUGAGACCCAAGGUGAACGACCAAGACAAGUGCUUGGUUCAGUUGGUUGACGCCGAAACCUGUCUGCUCCGGCUGACCUCUUUUUGUGUGGAGCGUGGCGAGGAAGGUGAGCCCGUGGUCACGGCUCGCCGGCGCGCUCGCUCUUACAGCGUGUCUAGGUACAAUAAAUUUUUUGAAGCUCAAGCAUUUUGGAUGUAG